rnacentral:rRNA from 1 species
GGUGGCCAUAGCGGAGGGGUUACACCGGUUCCCAUUCCGAACACACAGGUUAAGCCCUCCAGCGCCGAUGGUACUCGGGUCGAAAGACCCCGGGAGAGUAGGUCGCCGCC